AUUGAACGCUGGCGGCAGGCCUAACACAUGCAAGUCGAGCGAGCGGCGGACGGGUGAGUAAUGUAUGGGGACUGCCCGAUAGAGGGGGAUAACUACUGGAAACGGUGGCUAAUACCGCAUACUAUCGGAUAACCCAUAUGGGAUUAGCUAGUAGGUGGGGUAAAGGCGCCCCUAGGCGACGAUCUCUAGCUGGUCUGAGUGGAUUAUGAGCAACACGUGGACUGAGACACGGCCUAGACUCCGACGGAUGCAGCAGGGGGUAAUAUUGCACAAUGGGCGCAAGCCUGAUGCAGCCAUGCCGCGUGUAUGAAGAAGGCCUUAGGGUUGUAAAGUACUUUCAUCGGGGAGGCGUUACCCGCAGAAGAAGCACCGGCUAACUCCGUGCCAGCAGCCGCGGUAAUAC
rnacentral:rRNA from 1 species